CGGGGUAUAGCUCAGUGGUAGAGCAUUUGACUGCUGAUCAAGAGAUCCCCGGUUCAAAUCCGAAUACCCCCA